AGAAUCAACGCUGGCGGCGUGCCUAACACAUGCAAGUCGCACGAGAAAGGGGAGCAAUCCCUGAGUACAGCGGCGCACGGGUGAGUAACACGUGAAUAAUCUACCUCCGAGUGGGGAAUAACUGAGAGAAAUCUUAGCUAAUACCGCAUAACACUUACGAGUCAAAGCAGCAAUGCGCUUGGAGAGGAGUUCGCGGCCGAUUAGUUAGUUGGCGGGGUAAUGGCCCACCAAGACGAUGAUCGGUA
rnacentral:rRNA from 1 species